CCUUUGUGUCCAACACGACAUUCAGACAUGCAUUUCGACACAGAGGAAUUGGGAAUUAAGAAACGCAUUUUUACUCUCGAAGGGAAUUAACCAGACUUUUUUGGGGUUGACCUGGCUAAGGCCUCGCUUAAAGGGUCGCAUUUCGGUCGGGUCGAAUGCAAUUCAAACAGCAGAUAAUGGUGUCGAUUUGGCUCGCUCAUCCGAAACGGAUUAAAAAGCGGUACGUUAUAUAUGAGCAGUAACCUACUGAUCUGAGUAUAAAAAUCAAGCAAUCAGAAGCCAGAUCCUCGACAAACUGAAUUAUCGUGUCCUUCAUUUCCUAUGGCUUCGGCACUGGAAGAUUUUAAGUAAAUCUAGUGAUUUAAACUGUAUUUAUAUAUUAGAAUUUAAAAUUUUCGCUCUUUUGCCCAUGUUAACUCAUAUUGUCGAGACGCCUCAUGACGUCAUAUUAAAUUGACGUCAUAUUAUAUUGAUAAUAAACCUUCAAUUCAGCGCAGUUCAAAAGAAAUAUUUCAAUGACUUUUAUAUGUGGUCUGUUUUGUUAUGAAGUACAAAAUCAUUUGGCUUUAGAAAACACACCGCGGUAUAUCAGAAAAGUUUAAAGACACCAAGAGUUCACAAAAAAUAAAUAAAUUAUAUGGAAAAUAUUGAUAUAUUUGGUGAUUAUUAAUAUAUUUGAUGACAAUUAAUAAAUUUUGCACAAAUGUGUACAUGUAUUUGUAGUUAUAGAUAAAAAUCUGAAUAUAAAUCUGAACUGACUAUUCAGGCCGGGAU